AUUGAACGCUGGCGGCAUGCCUUACACAUGCAAGUCGAACGGCAGCAUGGAGAGCUUGCUCUCUGAUGGCGAGUGGCGAACGGGUGAGUAAUGCAUCGGAACGUACCGUGUAAUGGGGGAUAACGUAGCGAAAGUUACGCUAAUACCGCAUACGACCUGAGGGUGAAAGCAGGGGAUCGCAAGACCUUGCGUUAUACGAGCGGCCGAUGUCAGAUUAGCUAGUUGGUGAGGUAAAGGCUCACCAAGGCGACGAUCUGUAGCAGGUCUGAGAGGAUGAGCCGCCACACUGGGAGUGAGACACGGCCCAGACUCCUACGGGAGGCAGCAGUGGGGAAUUUUGGACAAUGGGGGAAACCCUGAUCCAGCCAUGCCGCGUGAGUGAAGAAGGCCUUCGGGUUGUAAAGCUCUUUCGGCCGGGAAGAAAUCGCACAGGCUAAUACUCUGUGUGGAUGACGGUACCGGCAUAAGAAGCACCGGCUAACUACGUGCCAGCAGCCGCCGUAA
rnacentral:rRNA from 1 species